UAAUACCGGCGGUCCAAGUCGCAGCCAUGAUUAUUGGGUCUAAAACAUUCGUAGCUUGUUUAGUAAGUUUCUUGUGAAAUCUUAUCUCUUAAGGAUCAGGCGAGCGAGAAAUACUGCUAAACUAGAGACUGGAAGAAGUAAGAAGUACGGUUGAGGUAGUGGUAAAAUACGUUAAUCUCGAUUGGACUAACAAUAGCGAAGGCAUCUUACUAGUACAGAUCUGACAGUGAGGAAUGAAGGCUAGGGUCGCAAAACGGAUUAGAUACCCGUGUAGUCCUAGCAGUAAACACUGCUCACUAAACAUUGGAAUCUCCUCGAGAGAUUUCAGUGCUGUAGGGAAGCCGAAGAGUGAGCUACCUGGGAAGUAUAGCCGCAAGGCCG
rnacentral:rRNA from 1 species